rnacentral:rRNA from 1 species
UACGUCGGGGGCAAGCGUUGUCCGGAUUUAUUGGGCGUAAAGAGCGUGUAGGCGGCCAGAUAGGUCUGUUGUGAAAACUCGAGGCUCAACCUCGAGACGCCGAUGGAAACCCUCCAGCUAGAGUCCGGAAGAGGAGAGUGGAAUUCCUGGUGUAGCGGUGAAAUGCGCAGAUAUCAGGAAGAACACCCGUGGCUAAGGCGGCUCUCUAGUACGGUACUGACGCUGAGACGCGAAAGCGUGGGGAGCGAACAGG